ACAGGGACAAGCCGAACAAUGAAGAGAGAGAGCGUUACCUAAGCAAAAUUGCAAACGUUGCUCGAUGAAAGUUGGCAUCUCGAAACCAACUUCUGACCAUACAGUGUGUUCAUAUGGGUCGAGUCCAACAAUGUCCGCAAUUUUGCUUAGGCAACGCUCUCUCUCUUCAUUGUUCAGCUUGUCCCUGU